GGGGGAGUUAUUUCUGUCCGGCGGCAGGGGAGCCUCUACCGGCGAUCACCUUGAACCCCUGCCACAGUGAGGGGAGCAGGAGCCAGGGCAACUCCUCCCUGUCCGCGGCCCGCCCCUGGAAGCUGUCACACCCCUGCACACCCCAGUUCGAGCCCCGCCGCCCCCCCUGACACCCCGCCAUGCAGCCCUCAGACAGCGACGAUGAGCUGGACUCCCCCGACGGGCCCGGCUCAUCGCACAUCCCACCCAGCAUCUAUGUCAUAAAGUUCCACCCCGCCACGGCCCGCGAGGCGAUCGAAUUUCUCAUCGAGCGGAUAGAAGCCAAGAAUAAGUUUGGCGUGGCGGUGCUGCUCAGCAGGUGUUAGCCGCAGAAACAGGCACAG